AACGAACGCUGGCGGCAUGCCUAACACAUGCAAGUCGAACGGGGAUCCUAGCUUGCUAGGUGAGAGUGGCGGACGGGUGAGUAACACGUGGGAAUCUGCCUUUUUGGUUUCGGGAUAACCGCGGGAAACUGCGGCUAAUACCGAAUGCCCUCGAGAGAGGAAAGAUUUAUCGCCAGAAGAGGAGCCCGCGUCCGAUUAGGUAGUUGGUGGGGUAAAGGCCUACCAAGCCGACGAUCGGUAGCUGGUCUGAGAGGAUGAUCAGCCACACUGGGACUGAGAUACGGCCCAGACUCCUACGGGAGGCAGCAGUGGGGAAUAUUGGACAAUGGGGGCAACCCUGAUCCAGCAAUAGCCGCGUGAGUGAUG
rnacentral:rRNA from 1 species